rnacentral:tRNA from 1 species
GGCGGCAUGGUGGAAUUGGUGAUACACAUAGGACUUAAAAUCCUACGCCCCUAGAGGAUUGAGAGUUCGAGUCUCUCUGCCGCUA